rnacentral:lncRNA from 1 species
AUGAGAAAGUUCAGUUUAGGGUUUAAAACCCUAAUGCUGACUAAGAGGAAAAAGUUCACCUAAUGCUGACUAAAGGAAAAGUUCAGUUUAGGGUUUAAAACCCUAAUGCUGACUGAAUGGAAAAAAGUUCAGUUUAGGGUUUAAAACCCUAAUGCUGACUGAAGGAAAAAGUUCAGUUUAGGGUUUAAAACCCUAAUGCUGACUAAAGAAAAAAGUUCAGUUUAGGGUUUAAAACCCUAAUGCUGACUGAAUGGACAAGAGUUCAGUUUAGGGUUUAAAACCCUAAUGCUGACUGAAGGAAAGAGUUCAGUUUAGGGUUUAAAACCCUAAUGCUGACUAAAGGGAAGGUUCAGUCUAGGGUUUAAAACCCUAAUCUUGAUUAAAGGGAAAAGUUCAUUUUUAGGGUUUAAAACCC